GCAGGAGUGGUGAAAUAGGCAAACACGCAUGAUUCAGGUUCAUGUGAAGAAAUUCUUGAGGGUUCAAGUCCCUUCUCCUGCACCA
rnacentral:tRNA from 1 species